rnacentral:rRNA from 1 species
AGUAAUGUAUGGGGAUCUGCCUGAUGGGGGGGGAUAACUACUGGAAACGGUAGCUAAUACCGCAUAAUGUCUACGGACCAAAGCGGGGGACCUCCGGGCCUCGCGCCAUCAGAUGUGCCCAGAUGGGAUUAGCUAGUAGGUGGGGUAAUGGCUCACCUAGGCGACGAUCCCUAGCUGGUCUGAGAGGAUGACCAGCCACACUGGAACUGAGACACGGUCCAG